GUCUGUGAGCCCCAGGCCCCAUGAGGUCCAGCUGACUUAGAUAAGCUCUGUGCUGACCCAGAGGAGCGGGAGGUUGGGUACCAGCAACAGCUUGGGGAUAGCAUAAACCUUUGAGAUGUUGUACAGAGAGGUAUAUCAGAAAUAAGAACUAAAGUAGGUUUGAGAAUUUCCAGAUCAAGUAGGCAAUAAUGGCCUUCAGAGAUCCAAAACCAGAAUUCGUGUCUUUUAUUCUGUGAGAGUCAAAUGAGAAGGGGAGAGACUUCUGGGACAUAGACAGGGAAAAGGCUUCAGGAAGGAGGAUGAACCCUGAUGAGAAGCCAGGCCUAUGUGAAGGGGUGGCCAG
rnacentral:lncRNA from 1 species